AUUGAACGCUGGCGGCAUGCCUUACACAUGCAAGUCGAACGGCAGCACGGGUGCUUGCACCUGGUGGCGAGUGGCGCACGGGGGAGUAAUACAUCGGAACAUGUCCUGUAGUAGGGGGGAGCCCGUCGAAAGCCAGAUUAAUACCGCAGACGAACUACGGAUGCAAGCGGGGGACCUUCGGGCCUCGCGCUUUAGGGUUGGCCGAUGGCUGAUUAGCUAGUUGGUGGGGUAAAGGCCUACCAAGGCGACGAUAAGUAGCCGGUCUGAGAGGACGACCAGCCACACUGGGACUGAGACACGGUCCAGACUCCUACGGGAGGCAGCAGUGGGGAAUUUUGGACAAUGGGCGAAAGCCUGAUCCAGCAAUGCCGCGUGUGUGAUGAAGGCCUUCGGGUUGUAAAGCACUGUUGUCCGGAAAGAAAUCCUGGGUCCGAAUACGGUCGGGGGAUGACGGUACCGGAAGAAUAAGCACCGGCUAACUACGUG
rnacentral:rRNA from 1 species